UACGUAGGCAGCUAGCGUUGUUCGGAAUUACUGGGCGUAAAGCGAGUGUAGGCGGUUUGCCAAGUCCAUUGUGAAAUCUCCCGGCUCAACUGGGAGGGUGCGGCGGAAACUGGCAGGCUAGAGUGCGGAAUGGGAGAGUGGAAUUCCUGGUGUAGCGGUGAAAUGCGCAGAUAUCAGGAGGAACACCGAUGGCGAAGGCAGGUCUCUGGGCAUUAACUGACGCUGAGGAGCGAAAGCAUGGGGAGCGAACAGG
rnacentral:rRNA from 1 species